UACAGAGGUCCCAAGCGUUGUUCGGAUUCACUGGGCGUAAAGGGUGCGUAGGUGGUGGGGUAAGUUUGAUGUGAAAGCUCCGAGCUUAACUCGGAAAUGGCAUUGAAUACUAUCCUGCUUGGGGUUUGGAGGGGGGACUGGAAUUCUCGGUGUAGCAGUGAAAUGCGUAGAUAUCGAGAGGAACACCAGUGGCGAAGGCGAGUCCCUGGACAACACCUGACACUGAGGCACGAAAGCUAGGGGAGCAAACAGG
rnacentral:rRNA from 1 species